AGUCUGGGGCCCCCUCCCCUUGCAAUGGUGCCUUCCACAUCUAGGAUGCUGCCUCCUACCACAGUCACGGAUAUGCCCAGAGAUUUGUCUUCUAGAGACCAGGGCUAUGAGCUUCAGUUGGCUGCCACAGCGAUCACUCACUCCUUCAUCAGUUCAAGCAUCUGGACUGUGACACUCCAUAGAACUGGUAAACCCUGGCCAGCAGAGGCAGAGCCAACUAUGGAGCAUGUGGCUACUAGAUGAACAUUAACAGGCUCUUACGAAAA